GACGAACGCUGGCGGCGUGCCUAAUACAUGCAAGUCGAGCGAAGGUUUUCUGGUGCCUGCACCGGAAAAACUUAGCGGCGAACGGGUGAGUAACACGUAAAGAACCUGCCUCAUAGACUGGGACAACUAUUGGAAACGAUAGCUAAUACCGGAUAACAGCAUUAACUGCAUGGUUGAUGUUUAAAAGUUGGUUUUGCUAACACUAUGAGAUGGCUUUGCGGUGCAUUAGCUAGUUGGUGGGGUAAAGGCCUACCAAGGCGACGAUGCAUAGCCGACCUGAGAGGGUGAUCGGCCACCCUGGGACUGAGACACGGCCCAGACUCCUACGGGAGGCAGCAGUAGGGAAUCUUCCGCAAUGGGCGAAAGCCUGACGGAGCAACGCCGCGUGAGUGAAGAAGGAUUUCGGUUCGUAAAGCUCUGUUGUUAGGGAAGAAUGAUUGUGUAGUAACUAUACACAGUAGAGACGGUACCUAACCAGAAAGCCACGGCUAACUACGUG
rnacentral:rRNA from 1 species